rnacentral:lncRNA from 1 species
UGGUGCAUAAUUGAUUGAAUAUGAGCAAAGCGUUUUCUUAAUUCGCUUUUAUGAAAACAUGGUUAGUCUUCGCUUAAUUGGUUAGCUUGUGUUGGAAUAGGGGUUAGAGGACUGAGUAAUUGUUGUUAAUCUGUAAUCGGAACAAUGUAAUUGAGCAGGUGAUCAACCGUUUUCCAUUAAUGUUUGAAUUCAUGCUUUAGUUUGGUAGAUUUUAGUUCACAAAAUUGUUCAUAAACCACCUCCCACCAUGUACUCAAUCUAAUUCUUGAACCACAUUUAGCCCUU